GCAGGGGUGAGCCCAGCCACUCACCUUCCAGGAAGCGUGGAUUCCUGGAAGUGAGGGGAACCGCCGUCAUUUCGCAGGCAGCGGCAGCGGCACGGAGGAAAUGAUCUAUACCUUUUACAAAGAGAUACAAGGAGAAAAGAUGGACUUUCGGAAUCAGGUUCCGUGAGGUGGGAAAAUCUCUUUGAAGAACAGGAGAGAUGCCACCUUCAUCAAGUAGCCAGGGGAGGGAAGGCCACCUGGGGUAGAGGCAAAGAGCUGUGAUGACCUUGAAGGGGCUGGUGUGCUUUAGGAGGGGCGUACACUGCAGCCUUUCCCACUGCUUCCGUAUCAGCCCAGAAGAGAUGGGUCAGGGACGAGCUCUCAGACACCCCUCAAGUGGCCUGUCUCAGCCACGCUCUGCCCUGCAGGGCUGCUUGUCAGAGCUAAUGUUAGCCCUCCUUUGGCUUUCCCUUUUCCCUCUCUAAGGCAGCUGCUGACAUCUAGAGUUCUCAAAACACAGAUGAGGAGUUUCUGGCUUCCACUUUCAUUCAAAAACCAUCCUGUACAGAGGCCUCCUCUUAUCUAGGAAAUGCCAACCUCCUGAAAGCAGAGAAAGCUUGGUUUCAUAGCACAGUGAAGCAAACACCCUUAGAAGUUUUCCUCUGAUACCCAACAUUCUCCAGAGACAGCAAUGAAAAGCGCUCCGUGGGCUAUCUCCCCAGCCACCUUCCUAGUGUCUCAUUUGCCUACCUUAGGGCAGGGACUGGUUUUUAUCCAUCUGAGUGUUCUCCAGCACUAAAGCAGGGUCCUGAGUGUAUGUGUUGCUCAGUAGUGGUUUUCUGAAUAGGCUUAACUGAGUGGGAGGUAGGAGGAUUGGCUGGUUCUUCAGAAGGGCCACAACUUUAGUUCCAAUAAAAAGUCUUUCAAUUGAA